CAGCAGCCACGGUAAUACGAAGGGUGCAAGCGUUACUCGGAAUUACUGGGCGUAAAGCGUGUGUAGGUGGUUGUUUAAGUCUGUCGUGAAAGCCCUGGGCUCAACCUGGGAAUUGCGAUGGACACUGGGCGACUAGAGUGCGGUAGAGGAUAGUGGAAUUUCCGGUGUAGCAGUGAAAUGCGUAGAGAUCGGAAGGAACAUCUGUGGCGAAGGCGACUAUCUGGGCCAACACUGACACUGAGACACGAAAGCGUGGGGAGCAAACAGGAUUAGAUACCCCCGUAGUCCCUGUCUCUUAUAA
rnacentral:rRNA from 1 species